AUUUUUUAAAAGAGGAGAAAAAAAAACCUUGAUGAUUUUUGUUUUAUGGCAGCUGUGCUUAAGGGACCAACAAGCACUGCAGAGAUUAUUUUCAUGUAAUAAUCCUUGGAAAUAGUAUAGAUAGAGCAAACUUGCCCUUCCAAAUUGCCUGUCAGGUGUGUGUGAAUCCUCAGAGAAACAAAACAUGCUUUUGGUGAUGUAGUUCCCACUGAGUAGGUCAGUCAAUGAAAUCAGCUGCCAAGGCAAGAUCUGCUGAAUGUUGGAAAAGCUGUGGCUGCAUCGGGGUUUGGGUGUUUGGUUGGUAAAGGAAAGGCAUCUCUGGGUCUCUGCCACGGCAGAAACUGCCACUGAAGAACAGGGGUUAAACAGUGGGAUCUGGGAGAGCAGUUACAGAUGUGAAAGCAGCAGGUGGAGCCUCCCUGUUUCCAUUUCCCCAGCCUCAACUCAUGAUAGCCAGACGAGGGAUACCAAAGCUGCUGCAGCCCAACCUGUUUUCACCUUGGCUGUGUGACUUCCUGAGCUGCUGCCUGCAGACAGACAAGGAGCAGCGCUGGUCUGCCAAGGAGCUCCUGCAGCAUCCAUUUGUACGAUUUGCUGAGCCUGUGUCCAGCCUGGUGCCACUGAUUGUUUCAGUGAAGAAGAGGAAGGACCAAAGAAACUGAAAAUCACAUCAGGACCAUUUACUUCUCAACCGGCACAGGGCAGGAUUGUAGGUUCGGACAAGGGUUAGGGUUAGAGUUGGGGUUAGGGUUAGGGUUGGGGUUAGGGUUAGGGUCAGGGUCAGGGUUAGGGUUAGGA